AGAGUUUGAUCCCGGCUCAGAAUCAACGCUGGCGGCGCGCCUAACACAUGCAAGUCGAACGGGAGAGGAGGAGCAAUCCUCUGAGUACAGUGGCGUACGGGUGAGUAACACGUGGGUGAUCUACCUUCUGGUGGGGAAUAACCCUGGGAAACCGGGGCUAAUACCGCAUAAGUCCGAGAGGAGAAAGUCGCAAGACGCCGGAAGAGGAGCCCGCGGCCGAUUAGCUAGUUGGUGAGGUAAGAGCCCACCAAGGCGAAGAUCGGUAGCCGGCCUGAGAGGGCACACGGCCACACUGGCACUGAAACACGGGCCAGACUCCUACGGGAGGCAGCAGUGGGGAAUCUUGCACAAUGGGGGAAACCCUGAUGCAGCGACGCCGCGUGAGCGAUGAAGCCCUUCGGGGUGUAAAGCUCUUUCGGCAGGGAAGAUGAUGACGGUACCUGCAGAAGCAGCUGCGGCUAACUACGUGCCAGCAGCCGCGGUAAUACGUAGGCAGCAAGCGUUGUUCGGAGUUACUGGGCGUAAAGGGUGUGUAGGCGGCCGUUUAAGUUUGGUGUGAAAUCUCCCGGCUCAACUGGGAGGGUGCGCCGAAUACUGAAUGGCUGGAGUGCGGGAGAGGAGAGUGGAAUUCCUGGUGUAGCAAAAUGCGUAGAUAUCAGGAGGAACACCGGUGGUGUAGACGGCUCUCUGGGCCGCAACUGACGCUGAGACACGAAAGCGUGGGUAGCAAACAGGAUUAGAUACCCUGGUAGUCCACGCCCUAAACGAUGCACAUUUGGUGUGGGUCAUUCAGUUGAUCUGUGCCGGAGCUAACGCGUUAAAUGUGCCGCCUGGGGAGUACAGUCGCAAGGCUGAAACUCAAAGGAAUUGACGGGGGCCCGCACAAGCGGUGGAGCAUGUGGUUCAAUUCGACGCAACGCGAAGAACCUUACCUGGGCUCGAACGGCCGGUUAACGGGGGCGGAAACGCUUCUACCCCGCAAGGGGGUCCGGUCGAGGUGCUGCAUGGCUGUCGUCAGCUCGUGUCGUGAGAUGUUGGGUUAAGUCCCGCAACGAGCGCAACCCUUGUCCUGUGUUGCCAUGCCCGCAAGGGCGGAACUCGCAGGAGACCGCCAGCGAUAAGCUGGAGGAAGGUGGGGAUGACGUCAAGUCCUCAUGGCCUUUAUGUCCAGGGCUACACACGUGCUACAAUGGCCGGUACAAA
rnacentral:rRNA from 1 species